UACGUAGGCAGCGAGCGUUGUUCGGAGUUACUGGGCGUAAAGGGUGUGUAGGCGGUUGUUUAAGUUUGGUGUGAAAUCUCCCGGCUCAACUGGGAGGGUGCGCCGAAUACUGAAUGACUCGAGUGUGGGAGAGGUGAGUGGAAUUCCUGGUGUAGCGGUGGAAUGCGCAGAUAUCAGGAGGAACACCGAUAGCGAAGGCAGCUCGCUGGGACGUCACUGACGCUGAGAACGCGAAAGCGUGGGGAGCAAACAGG
rnacentral:rRNA from 1 species